rnacentral:lncRNA from 1 species
CAAAGACUCCACGAGCUAGCUAGCUAGCUAUCUAAUUGUCACUGGAAAUCAGCUGGUACUAUCCCCAAAAUCAGUUACACGUACAAGUAUAGAACUACUGAACAAAUCCAAGGAAUCGUUGUAGCUAGCUACAAGCGGUGGCCGUCGAAGGAGCCAAGGCCGUCGUCGAAGUUCUGGGAGUAGCUGUGCAAAUCGUAGCCGAACCUCACCGCGGCCUGCCUCGGCCGCGCGGCGCGUCUCCUCCUCCAGGAGGACCUCAGCCUCGACAGCAGCUGCUUCACCGCCGCCGCCGCCGACCGGCCGCUGCUCCUGCUGCCGCUGGCGUAGCUCAGCUGCAGCUGGGUUGCCAUCGCCUCUUGAUCGCUCACACACUUCUCACAAGGUUGUAGCUACCCUCGCAACUAGCUUCCCUCUUUGCUCCGAGCACACGAGCUAUCUCUGCAGCUGGUAGCUUCUGAACUGAAGAUCCUGUGC